rnacentral:rRNA from 1 species
UACAGAGGGUGCAAGCGUUAAUCGGAAUUACUGGGCGUAAAGCGCGCGUAGGUGGUUUGUUAAGUUGAAUGUGAAAUCCCCGGGCUCAACCUGGGAACUGCAUGCAAAACUGGGCAAGCUAGAGUAUGGUAGAGGGUGGUGGAAUUUCCUGUGUAGCGGUGAAAUGCGUAGAUAAUAGGAAGGAACACCAGUGGCGAAGGCGACCACCUGGACUGAUACUGACACUGAGGUGCGAAAGCGUGGGGAGCAAACAGGAUUAGAGUACCCGGAG